UACGGAGGGGGCUAGCGUUGUUCGGAAUGACUGGGCGUAAAGGGCGCGUAGGCGGUUUAUCAAGUGAGGCGUGAAAGCCCCGGGCUUAACCUGGGAAUUGCGUUUCAUACUAGUAGACUUGAGGACGAGAGAGGAAAGUGGAAUUCCUAGUGUAGAGGUGAAAUUCGUAGAUAUUAGGAAGAACACCAGUGGCGAAGGCGACUUUCUGGCUCGUAUCUGACGCUGAGGCGCGAAAGCGUGGGGAGCAAACAGG
rnacentral:rRNA from 1 species